AAGGUCAAUUGCUGAAAUAACUGCCAACUUUUUCAAAACUUUGGAUGCGCAUGUUUCACAAUUAGGCCGAAUUGUAGAAGAAUCACAGACAGUCAAUGAUAAACAAUUAUCUGAUCUAGAAAAGAAGUUUAAGGAGUGUGCUGCCAAUGAAGAAAGGCAGCUCUUAGAAAGGCAUUAAAUGCUUGUUACAUCCCUAAAAUGUUACAUGCAAAGAAUUGGAUGAACAAUAUAGAAACGAUUGAACAACAUCAAAAUUAAUGCUCGUUGUAAAUUUAAGAACACCACAGAUAAUCAAUCCUCCACAGAAUAAUA